GAGGGUGUUAAGAAUUGAAGUAGUAAAAUCUUCAACAGUCACACUGGAUGGAGUUGUUUUAUCUUUUAUAAUGUUGAAUUGCAUUUAUGAUUCAGAAGACUCUAGUCAUGCUUGUGGUUUCAUUCUUACUGUUAAUGGAAAGAAAAUAAACGUAUUGAAAACAGACUUCAGAAAAAGAGUUAUGUUUCAGGAAAAAUAAAUUAAUUUCUCUCCCAUAUGACUUUACAAAGAAUGAGUUUCCAGUUUUUAUAAGACAGCACUGUGAUAUAUGUAGACCAUUAAUAUGUUAACCCUCUUCAUAUUGCCUUCUAUUUAAGAAAUCUUUAUCUUUUAGAACGUUAACGUAGUAACAAAAGUUAUACUAUUGAAAGGCUUUAACUAUACAGAGAUGGCAGAACAUGAUUCUUUCACUGACCUCAAACAUCAAGUAAAUAAAGGCCAGAAGGGCCAGUGUUCUUAAAUGAGAAGUCACAUGUAUCACAUGGAAAAGUUUAAGAACAGAAUACAGAGCUGAUUGAAUGGCAUAAUGAUAACUGGUAGAUGUCAUGUGUGAUACAGUUGCUUCUGAUUUAUUCAUAUUAUUAGUAUUUAUCUCGUUCAAUGUGUUCAUACCGGAUUUUGAGCAAUAAAUUACUGUUACCAGGGUCCUGAUUAUUUUUGAGCAAAAUUCAAAAUGAUUGUGCAGAUAAUUACAUAUGCAUAAUGCAUUUCUCUCAACAAAUUUUAAUUAUAUUUAUAUAAACUUCUGAAUUCUCAACAUUGUAUUGUCUACGUUCUUUUCUACAGAGUACCACAAUGAUAUGUAAAGAAUUUUGUCCUUAUCCACUUGAAGAAUGUGAACAGUUAAAUAUAUGUGUGCAUGAGCGCAUGCAUGUACUGUGUGUCCAUGUGCAUUUGUUUGUGUAAGAAUAGGGAGCAAACACAAUGCACUUUUAGAUUUACAUGAGAAUUAAUUUUUAUAAAAUUAAUCUAAGUGUGAUGAUGAAUUUAAAAAUUGACCACUAAAUAUUCUUUUAUUAAUACAGGGGCUUUUAUAACACCUAGGGUUAGUGAAGCAGGUGGAAGAACAUUGUAUAAUUUCGACAUCAGGAACACUAGUCUGGAGUGGAUGAAAUUGUUGUCACUUCAGCCAAGAACUCAAAUGUAACAAAAGUACACCAGACAGAAAUAAAUUUACUUUCAAUAUCUUAAGGACCAUUUGUAUACCAUAUUAUAGAAGGAGGUAGGGAUAAUAUGAACAAAUUGUAUGGAUCAUAUGGUUAAUAAGCAUCAUUUUUUCUCUUUACAGCAUUUCUAUAUUCAUUAUACUUCUACUUAACUGAGGUUACAAAAUACUUUUAACUGUUAUUAAUAAUACCAUAGCACAUUACUCCAUUAGACUCUAAGGGCAUAUAGAAAGGAUUUUAUUUGCAAGAUUAUAUUUGAAGGUAAUAGCAAUUAGAAACGCAACUCCAGGACUGUUCUGAAUGUAUAAUAACGCAGCAAUUUUAUUAGGACAAUUUUGUGUCUAUUAUACGUAUUUAUAUGAGGGAGAGUCAGUAAAUAGGUCACAAAAGGAAGUGAAACAGUUGUAAUAGAAGCAAUGGAUUUUCUACGCGCUGCACUCAGUAGCAGCACAGUCGAGUUUCAUGACAGUCUAGGUAGCAGAUGUGCAUGUGCAUAUACAGAGGCUUGUUUCAGUAGUCAGAAUGGCAACCGUGCUUAACGAAUGUACUACUGAAGGGAAGAGUUCUGUUGUGCCUGUUUGUGGAUAAAAUGACUCAAUGCAAAUGAUAUUAAUAAAGAAUUGUUUCCUGGUUAUCAUGAGAAGUGUUUUUAAAGGGUUCUGAUGAUGGUGUAUAACACUCAAAAUUAAUAGGUUUUCAAACUUUUUCCACUGUCCAAAAACCCAGUCAUUUUGAGUGGGAAGCGUUUGUCAUGUACAGUGGUUCACAACUGGGUCAAUAAAUUCUCUCAAGGACGUUCGAAAGUCACGGAUGAUGCCCAAUUAGGUCACCCUGUUGAGAUUGCAACAGAAGCAACUGUGCAAUGGGUGGAAGAGUUGAUUCAAACUGACAGUAGUGCAACUGCACUAGAUCGUCCCCAUGGUUUAGCAUACAGCAAAAUGCAUGAUUGUUUGAAGUUUUGAAAAGUGGGGGCACAGUGGGUGCACAGAGAAGUGAGGGAUCGAGAAAAAAUGAACCAAAUGGGUCUGUCCUUGCAACAUCUCUUGCAGUAUACUGAUGAAGGAGAAGAUAUGCUUAACAGGAUAGUUACUGGGGACGAAUCAUGGGUGUAUCUCUACCAACAUGAAUCCAAGGGCGCUUCAAUGCCAUGGAAACAUCCCAGUUCAUUUUCUACCAAAAAGUUUAAGGUUAUGCUGUCAGCUGGAAAGGUUAUGCUUCCCAUGUUUAGAGAUUCUCAGGGAGUAAUAUUAGCCUAUUUCCAGCAGCAUGGUGAAAAUGUGAAUUCUGCAAAGUACUGUGAAGUUCUGUUGAAGCUUCAGGAUGCAAUUUGCAGAAAACAUCCAGGCCAACUGACAAGAGGGGUACUGAUUCAUUGUGACAAUGCCAGACUCCAUGCAGCCCAAGCACCCUGGGAGAGAAUUCGAGAACUACAGUGGGAACUUCUUGAACAUCUGCCUUACAGCCUGGAUUUGGCCCCUAGUGACUUCCAUCUGUCUGGUCUGCUAAAAAAGAAACACCUUGGUGGCAAAUAUUUCACUGAUGAUGAUGAAGAGGUUGACAUGGAGUUGCAGAAGUGGCUGAGACAACAGUCAAAACAACUUCUAUGCUGCGGGUUUUGACACAAUGACAAAGUGAUGGAAUGAGGGUGCCAGCUGAAAUCUCAGUGUCAAUUUGGCAGUGGUGCAUAUGAUUUGCCCUCUUCAGCACCAAAACAAGAAAGAAGACAAUGUCUCAAUGGAUCUUACCAAAAUUUGGUAAAAUUUUGUGAUAAGUUCCAGAUGUUCAGCAAGUCUGUAAAUUAAAUAAGAAUAAGCAUAAGUAAAUGUAUACAAAAUAAAUUUA